CAGGAAGUGAGAGAAUCCCUGCAUCCUGUUUUGUGUGAGCGUACUUAUAACCAGGAAAAUAGAUACAUUAUAUCUAUACGACACGUUCGAUGGUGUGAUUAAGAGUAAUGUGGACACGCAUACAUUGCAAUACAAAACGAAGAGUUGGGCAAACAUGGCUCCCCGAACAUACCAGAGGUGGGAUCAGGUGCCUAGAAGGAAUAAACAUCCCCUGUCGAGCUGUCACAUUAACCGUGAACCCUAUAUCUUGGUGUGUAAAGAACAGCCUCAGAUGGUAUGAAACAUGUCAGACAACAUUUGACCCAAUGACAGGUUGUAAGAUGGGUUAGUGGAACUCUGACAGAAGCGUGCAGGAGAGACUUUCUUAUUUCAUUCCUAUGUUGCCGUAUGAUCAUAUAUUGGGCAUGAAAUUAAACCCACAAGGAACUGUUGGUGAUUUUCUACUCCCAUUAGCCAAGUGAGGGUGAAUAUUCCAUUGAAUCGUUCCAAUUUGCUAUAAUUGUUAUAAAGUUCAAGAGCUUCCGAGAGCAACGCCUCUGGCCUUCACCAGAGCUUUCUCCUGGACCCACUGGGGUCUAAAUGCCCCUACUUCCCUGCAAAAUCCUAGAUGCACCACUAAAUGUGGAAUAUUUUUCCCAAUUUGAUAUGAAUAACAAACAUACCCUCGGGUACAACGUAAUUUAGCGGUCUGUAACACUCGUGUCCACAUCCAUUGCUGCGACACUCAUACCCCGCGGGACAGUCCACACCAUAUUGACCACACAAGCUGAGACACGACCCUCUGGAUUCACGAUUAGGAACUGCCGUGACCACACAUACUGUAAACAAGUCACCUUGUUAUGAACCAUAUGGUCAUCCAGUAUACCCGGUAUAUCGUGUAUUGUACAAUCUGAUUUUCGAGAAUUAAAAAAAAACGUAUUUUCAAAAGGUUUAAAGAAAUAUUAAUGUAAGGAAAAUAGGUUCAGUUUAUAGUCAAACCUGAGAAAAUCAAUGUAACUAUAAGCCUCAUGUCAGUGCGUAGAUAAAUCCUUAAUAUCUGGGUCUUUAAGUUCAUCUGAUAACAAACAAUACAGGACAAUGCUAGAAUUUCCCAAUAAUUGUACAAGAUUAGACUUUUGAGUCAUUUCGUGCUAUCUGAUCCCAAAAGAAAACCACCAAUGUCAAUGUGGUGAGCUGCACAUAACAGUUUACGGUCAAUUCAAAUUCUCGUCGAGUGCUACCCUGGUGUAACGCACAAACUACAUGUACUAGUAUUCACAAAUUAUACACUUUCAUGUAAAUGUGGAAAUCUAUUGCUCCAGGAGCGCCAUUUCUAUAUUUUUCUAUCAUUUAUUCACUAUGGACUUUGAAACAUUAAUCUAAUGCACUGAGAUGUGUUAUAAGAUAUUUUGAUCGUAUUUUUUUUUAUUCUACGUCUCUUUCGAAAACUGUUCACUCGUUUGGAGAGGUGAAGGGAAGUGCUAAAUAGUUUGUCCUAUUCAUGGUGAUCAAGGUCAUAGCAGUGAGGUUUCUUUUUUGUGCCAACGUCUCGCUUCUAAUGCUUGGCGAAAGAACAGCAAAUAAUACCCAUGAUAAAUGUCUUAGGUUGAAAGGGGUGCCAUGAUAAAGAAUCGAACCUAGUGUAGCAGUGUGUUUUAACUUGUAUAUAUUAUAUGAUACCAUAUUUUAAUAAACAUGAAUAGUGCAUAUGAAUUAAAAGCGCAUUUUAUGAUUUAAGUCAAAUUCCCAGAUCCACCCCUUUAUCUACUUAGUGUAAUAGGUGAGUGAAAAGGUUCACAGGUCUUGGUAUUUCAUUGGCUGUAGAACUGAGUUUUAUUCAGUUAGAAUCUAGAGAGUUUUUGGUCAGGUUGGUCGUGGCUUGCUUUUAAGCAGUUUUGGUAUCUUUUUGCUGAUUUGGCAUUUUGGUUUUGACAAAGACAUUAUUAGACCUUCAAAUCCAGACCUGACAGUAAGUACUAAUUUUAUUAACAUUUAUCUUCAUAAUAAGUAUAUAUAACUAAUAUCACUGUUUGAGAGAAGAGUGAAAGUUUAAAUAUUAUGAAGAACAGUAAAUAUCAAUUUAAAGUUAUUUCCUCUCAGUAUAUGCUUAUAAUAUAUCUAUAGUUAUUAUAGUGUAUAUAGUACUGUAAUGAUAUAUUUGUUAUAAAUAGAUUAGAAGCAUCCAGGCAGCAUUUUGAUGUUUGCAUGCAUUGGGCCUUGUCCCAUAGAUAGGGCCAUUUAUUUUUGUAAUCAACAUUAUGUAAUCAUCGUCAUCAUCCUUAUUCGUUUUACCGUACAAUAAAUGACUGCAUUGUGAACCCUAA